rnacentral:ncRNA from 2 species
GCGCUGCAGUUUGGCGUCGGCAUCGAGCGACGUACCUCUGACGGGUGCGUGGCGAGAGGGAACCCGGUGAGAAUCCGGGACUGUCCCGCAGCGGUGUACAGGAACGACCGCCGUUAACAGCACUGGCCCACCGGGCUGGGAAGCGACGGCCAGUAGGGGCACUUCGGUGCGUGCCUGUGAGUCCGAAGACCUGCCGGCUGUGCCGGACGCGC